AUACUUACCUGGCAGGGGAGAUAACCAUGAUCACGAAGGUGGUUUUCCCAGGGCUAGGCUUAUCCAUUGCACUCUGGACGUGCUGACCCCUGCGAUGUCCCUAAAUAUGGGAAACUUGACUGCAUAAUUUGUGGUAGUGGGGCACUGCAUUCGCAAA
rfam:Pongo abelii chromosome 7.